rnacentral:rRNA from 1 species
CAGUCGCCGCGGUAAUACGGAGGGAGCUAGCGUUGUUCGGAAUUACUGGGCGUAAAGCGCACGUAGGCGGUUAUUCAAGUCAGAGGUGAAAGCCCGGGGCUCAACCCCGGAACUGCCUCUGAAACUAGAUGACUAGAAUCUUGGAGAGGUCAGUGGAAUUCCGAGUGUAGAGGUGAAAUUCGUAGAUAUUCGGAAGAACACCAGUGGCGAAGGCGACUGACUGGACAAGUAUUGACGCUGAGGUGCGAAAGCGUGGGGAGCGAACAGGAUUAGAUACCCCCGUAGUCCCUGUCUCUUAUAC